rnacentral:rRNA from 1 species
ACGGAAGGCAGCAGUGGGGAAUAUUGCACAAUGGGGGAAACCCUGAUGCAGCGACGCCGCGUGAGUGAAGAAGUAUUUCGGUAUGUAAAGCUCUAUCAGCAGGGAAGAAAAUGACGGUACCUGACUAAGAAGCCCCGGCUAACUACGUGCCAGCAGCCGCGGUAAUACGUAGGGGGCAAGCGUUAUCCGGAUUUACUGGGUGUAAAGGGAGCGUAGACGGCGAUGCAAGUCAGAAGUGAAAUCCCGGGGCUUAACCUCGGUGCUGCUUUUGAAACUGUACGGCUAGAGUGCUGGAGGGGCAAGCGGAAUUCCUGGUGUAGCGGUGAAAUGCGUAGAUAUCAGGAGGAACACCGGUGGCGAAGGCGGCUUGCUGGACAGUAACUGACGUUGAGGCACGAAAGCGUGGGGAGCAAACAGGAUUAGAUACCCUGGUA